rnacentral:rRNA from 1 species
CUACGGGGUGCAGCAGCUGCGAAUCUUUUACAAUGCACGAAAGUGUGAUAAAGCGAGCCAAAGUGCAUAACAUUUUAUGUUAUGCUUUUCUUUACUGUAAAAAUGUAGAGGAAUAAGGACUGGGAAAGACCGGUGCCAGCCGCCGCGGUAAUACCGGCAGUUCAAGUCGCAUCCAACUUUAUUGGGUCUAAAACAUCCGUAGCUUGUUAUUUAAGUCUCUUGUGAAAUCCCACGUCUCAAGCGUGGGGCUUGCAGGAGAUACUGAAUAACUUUUGAGAUCGGUAGACGUAAGGAGUACGGCCAAGGUAAUGGUAAAAUAUGUUAAUCUUGGUUGGACUAACAAUUUAGCGAAGGCACCUUACGAGGACGAAUCUGACAGUGAGGGAUGAAGGCCAGGGGCGCAAAACGGAUUAGAUACCCCUGUAGUC